rnacentral:rRNA from 1 species
GAUGAACGCUGGCGGCGUUCCUAAUACAUGCAAGUCGAGCGAACAGACGAGGAGCUUGCUCCUCUGACGUUAGCGGCGGACGGGUGAGUAACACGUGGAUAACCUACCUAUAAGACUGGGAUAACUUCGGGAAACCGGAGCUAAUACCGGAUAAUAUAUUGAACCGCAUGGUUCAAUAGUGAAAGACGGUUUUGCUGUCACUUAUAGAUGGAUCCGCGCCGCAUUAGCUAGUUGGUAAGGUAACGGCUUACCAAGGCAACGAUGCGUAGCCGACCUGAGAGGGUGAUCGGCCACACUGCAACUGAGACACGGUCCAGACUCCUACGGGAGGCAGCAGUAGGGAAUCUUCCGCAAUGGGCGAAAGCCUGACGGAGCAACGCCGCGUGAGUGAUGAAGGUCUUCGGAUCGUAAAACUCUGUUAUUAGGGAAGAACAAAUGUGUAAGUAACUAUGCACGUCUUGACGGUACCUAAUCAGAAAGCCACGGCUAACUACGUG